rnacentral:lncRNA from 1 species
CUUAUCUAUCCUUAGCAAGGCAUCCUCUGAAUCUAUUUGCGCAAGAACUGUCUACAUCUUUAUCUGUCACAACGUGAAUCUGAUGUUGUGAUCCAACGCAGAAUAUCAUACUUCAAUGUCGCCAUUACCGUUAUCGAGACAAGCAACCCGAAAAGCUCUGAUAACAGGUUGUAAAACUAACAUCGAUAAUGGCAAUAUAGAACGAUCGCAAAAAAAUAAGAAAAAUAAAAAUAAAGCACACAAAUUUUACAUAAAAAACCCUUUCGGGAAAAAC